rnacentral:rRNA from 1 species
AGUGAACGCUGGCGGUAGGCCUAACACAUGCAAGUCGAACGGCAGCACAGUAAGAGCUUGCUCUUACGGGUGGCGAGUGGCGGACGGGUGAGGUAUACAUCGGAAUCUACUUUUUCGUGGGGGAUAACGUAGGGAAACUUACGCUAAUACCGCAUACGACCUACGGGUGAAAGCAGGGGAUCUUCGGACCUUGCGCGAUUGAAUGGGCCGAUGUCGGAUUAGCUAGUUGGCGGGGUAAAGGCCCACCAAGGCGACGAUCCGUAGCUGGUCUGAGAGGAUGAUCAGCCACACUGGAACUGAGACACGGUCCAGACUCCUACGGGAGGCAGCAGUGGGGAAUAUUGGACAAUGGGCGCAAGCCUGAUCCAGCCAUACCGCGUGGGUGAAGAAGGCCUUCGGGUUGUAAAGCCCUUUUGUUGGGAAAGAAAAGCAGCAGGUUAAUACCCCGCUGUUCUGACGGUACCCAAAGAAUAAGCACCGGCUAACUUCGUG